UACGUAGGGGCCUAGCGUUGUCCGGAAUUAUUGGGCGUAAAGAGCUCGUAGGCGGUUCGGCAAGUCGGAUGUGAAAUCUCCACGCUUAACGUGGAGGGGCCAUUCGAAACUGCUGUGACUCGAGUCCGGUAGGGGAGUGUGGAAUUCCCGGUGUAGCGGUGAAAUGCGCAGAUAUCGGGAAGAACACCCGUGGCGAAGGCGGCUCUCUGGGACGGUACUGACGCUGAGACGCGAAAGCGUGGGGAGCGAACAGG
rnacentral:rRNA from 1 species